GACGAACGCUGGCGGCGUGCCUAAUACAUGCAAGUAGAACGCACAGUUUAUACCGUAGCUUGCUACACCAUAGACUGUGAGUUGCGAACGGGUGAGUAACGCGUAGGUAACCUGCCUGGUAGCGGGGGAUAACUAUUGGAAACGAUAGCUAAUACCGCAUAAUAUUAAUUAUUGCAUGAUAAUUGAUUGAAAGAUGCAACUGCAUCACUACCAGAUGGACCUGCGUUGUAUUAGCUAGUAGGUGAGGUAACGGCUCACCUAGGCGACGAUACAUAGCCGACCUGAGAGGGUGAUCGGCCACACUGGGACUGAGACACGGCCCAGACUCCUACGGGAGGCAGCAGUAGGGAAUCUUCGGCAAUGGACGAAAGUCUGACCGAGCAACGCCGCGUGAGUGAAGAAGGUUUUCGGAUCGUAAAGCUCUGUUGCAAGAGAAGAACGGGUGUGAGAGUGGAAAGUUCACACUGUGACGGUAGCUUACCAGAAAGGGACGGCUAACUACGUG
rnacentral:rRNA from 1 species